UGGUAAGGCUAGAACGGGCUGAUGGUAAGCAGCAGGCCUGCUCAGAGGAGGGCUCCAUGCCUGCCCCCUGCCCUUCAUAAAGCUCUGGGAGGGAGGGCUGUUUGCUGAACCCAGACUGGCCAGACGUCCUUCUUGUUGAGGAAGAGCACGAUGGACGUGGUGGCGAAGUAGCGGUGGUUGCAGAUACUGUUGAACAGGCCCAGCCGGACACUCACCACUUCGUCGUCCUCCACGAGCACCAUGUCGUAGGCGCUCAGCGCCGCGAUGAAGAUGAUGCAGGUCACCCCCUCAAAGCAGUGGAUCCACUUUUUGCGCUCUGAGCGUUGCCCGCCCACAUCGAACAUCCUGCGGGGCCAUGAGGACCGGAAACCCGUGCAUCAAGUCCCCCGGAGACGCCCACAAGCAUCCCCUGGCUUCCUAAUGCUGGCUGGGAGGCACCCAGAUUCAGGCCCUGUUCAGCUUGUCUCUUGGCACACCUGGCGCGCAGAGUCUCCGUACUGGAUGUUGAGUGUGGUCAUGGCACGCACGAUGGCCAGGAUGGACUGUAGUGUGUUGCCAUAGAUGAUGGCAAUGAACUCGAGACACUCUUCCAAUUCACCUGCACCUGGAAUGGAAACCUGGCCUCAGAGAUGCGCAGACCGCACCAUCCCCUCUAUCCCACCUGUUUCCUUACCACACUCCCAAAAUAAGGUCCUGAUGCCCCAGGAGGCAAAAUCUAAAUGUCAGGAGUGACCGAAGGGGGCUGACGAGGCGAAUGGACAACCUCAACUCUGUCCUGGAGCCUCCAACACCUUGGUAUGCUGUUUUUUCUCUUUCGGAGGCCAAAAAUAAAGAAACCUGGAGCUCCACCUUGUGGACACUUAGGGUACUACAGGCAUGGGAUUACUUGAGCCAGGUCAACCCCUGCUUUUCCACCUAGGGUGGGAGGGAGUGUCCCCAAGAGGCUCAGAGGGAAUUAGCACUUUUGCUGGGGGAGAGGACAGAGCUGACAGUCCUUCUGAGCCUGCUCUCGUGUGGGUGUCGGGCACAGUUAAUGGGAUUUCUGGCUUAGCCUGUCUUCCCUGGGGUACUCUGGUUUGGUCUCUCUAAGCACAUUCACCUGUCUGGCUGAACCCUGGACAGCCUGGGUGAAGCCUGCAGUGCCUUCUCAAAACAGUUCCUUCCCUCGGUGGUGGUGGCAGGAGGAAGUACUGGAUCAGUCCUAUCUCCCCUCACUACCCAUGAGACUGAUGACAUGGCUUUAUCUAUUCCCCACUGGGCCUUAGUAGCCCUCUACACCUUUUAGCUGUCCUGCAGGUCUGCCAGCAAUAAAGCUCUGGAAACUGAGGGCCACUGUGUGUGGACCUGGGAGGUCCUAGAAGCUACCUACUCUCAGGAGGACUGUGACCUUCUCCUUCCCAAGGGAGCAGCCUUGUGGUGCUCCCAACGAGGCCCCUGGUUUCUGGGCCCUGUCCAGCAGGCCCGUCAAGCCAAAGGCUGGGGUUUGAGGGAACAUAGGCAGGGCAAAAGUGGGCCUUGAACACACAUCUCUAAAAAAAGUGUGACUGGCACACACAUCUUGGGAGGGGAGGUUGCCUGAGGUUUGAGCCCUCUAGAGAAGGUUUCUGUGGGAUACCUAGCCUUAGGGAGCCAAGAGCAUCACCACCAUCAGGCCUGGUCUUGCUUGGCCUGGGCUCCGCUCUGCUUGUUGCUAGGAUGUAGGCUCAUUCUGUUUCCCAAAUCACAGCUGCUUCACAGAAGGGCCACCUGCCUGCCCCCAGGCCUCUGACUGGCAGAUGUGGCCCCUCCUCAGCCCACCCCCUUACCCAGAAGCAGCAGUUUCACAGUUCGAGCAUCUUUCUCAGCAUCUUCUUUCAGCUUCUUUUCCAGCUCCCUUGAGUGCUUCUCCUCAGCGCUGGCCCCAGCCCCCAUGGUCCCGG